rnacentral:rRNA from 1 species
UACGUAGGAGGCAAGCGUUGUCCGGAAUCAUUGGGCGUAAAGCGCGUGUAGGCGGCUCGAUAAGUCUGCUGUGAAAGUCCAGGGCUCAACCCUGGGAUGCCGGUGGAUACUGUCGAGCUCGAGUCCGGAAGAGGCGAGUGGAAUUCCUGGUGUAGCGGUGAAAUGCGCAGAUAUCAGGAGGAACACCGAUGGCGAAGGCAGCUCGCUGGGACGUGACUGACGCUGAGACGCGAAAGCGUGGGGAGCAAACAGG